GACGAACGCUGGCGGCGUGCUUAACACAUGCAAGUCGAACGGAAAGACCCUGCUUUUGUGGGGUGCUCGAGUGGCGAACGGGUGAGUAACACGUGAGUAACCUGCCCUUGACCUUGGGAUAACUUCAGGAAACUGGGGCUAAUACCGGAUAGGAGCUCCUGCUGCAUGGUGGGGGUUGGAAAGUUUCGGCGGUUGGGGAUGGACUCGCGGCUUAUCAGCUUGUUGGUGGGGUAGUGGCUUACCAAGGCUUUGACGGGUAGCCGGCCUGAGAGGGUGACCGGCCACAUUGGGACUGAGAUACGGCCCAGACGCCUACGGGAGGCAGCAGUGGGGAAUAUUGCACAAUGGGCGGAAGCCUGAUGCAGCAACGCCGCGUGCGGGAUGACGGCCUUCGGGUUGUAAACCGCUUUCGCCUGUGACGAAGCGUGAGUGACGGUAAUGGGUAAAGAAGCACCGGCUAACUACGUG
rnacentral:rRNA from 1 species